rnacentral:rRNA from 1 species
AAUGAACGCUGGCGGCAGGCCUAACACAUGCAAGUCGAACGGUUCCUUCGUGAUUAGUGGCGGACGGGUGAGUAACGCGUGGGAACAUACCCAAAGGUACGGAAUAGCCUCGGGAAACUGGGAGUAAUACCGUAUGUGCUCGAAAGAGGAAAUAUUUAUCGCCUUUGGAUUGGCCCGCGUUGGAUUAGGUAGUUGGUGGGGUAAUGGGCUACCAAGCCGACGAUCGCUAGUUGGUUUGAGUGUAUGGUCAGCCACUCUGGGACUGAGACACGGUCCACACUCCUUCGGAAUGCAGCAGUGGGGAAUUUUCGAUAAUGGGGUUAGCCCUAAUCUAUUCAUGUUGCGUGAGCGAUGAGGGCCUUAGGGUUGUCAUGAUCUUUCUGGUGGGAAUAUAAUGACUGUACCAGCAGAACAAGCCCCGGCUAACUCCGUGCCAGCCGCCGCAGAAA